GCUGCAGUAGCUCAGCCGGUAGAGCACCUCCUUGGUAAGGAGGAGGUCACGGGUUCAAGUCCCGUCUGCAGCUCCA
rnacentral:tRNA from 1 species